GGCACAGUGGUGCAGUGGCACUGUUGCCUUACAGCAAGAAGGUUCUGGGUUCAAAUCCCAGCCUGGGCCU
rnacentral:tRNA from 1 species